AGAGUUUGAUCCUGGCUCAGGACGAACGCUGGCGGCGUGCCUAAUACAUGCAAGUCGAACGCUUCUUUUUCCACCGGAGCUUGCUCCACCGGAAAAAGAGGAGUGGCGAACGGGUGAGUAACACGUGGGUAACCUGCCCAUCAGAAGGGGAUAACACUUGGAAACAGGUGCUAAUACCGUAUAACAAUCGAAACCGCAUGGUUUUGAUUUGAAAGGCGCUUUCGGGUGUCGCUGAUGGAUGGACCCGCGGUGCAUUAGCUAGUUGGUGAGGUAACGGCUCACCAAGGCGACGAUGCAUAGCCGACCUGAGAGGGUGAUCGGCCACAUUGGGACUGAGACACGGCCCAAACUCCUACGGGAGGCAGCAGUAGGGAAUCUUCGGCAAUGGACGAAAGUCUGACCGAGCAACGCCGCGUGAGUGAAGAAGGUUUUCGGAUCGUAAAACUCUGUUGUUAGAGAAGAACAAGGAUGAGAGUAACUGUUCAUCCCUUGACGGUAUCUAACCAGAAAGCCACGGCUAACUACGUGCCAGCAGCCGCGGUAAUACGUAGGUGGCAAGCGUUGUCCGGAUUUAUUGGGCGUAAAGCGAGCGCAGGCGGUUUCUUAAGUCUGAUGUGAAAGCCCCCGGCUCAACCGGGGAGGGUCAUUGGAAACUGGGAGACUUGAGUGCAGAAGAGGAGAGUGGAAUUCCAUGUGUAGCGGUGAAAUGCGUAGAUAUAUGGAGGAACACCAGUGGCGAAGGCGGCUCUCUGGUCUGUAACUGACGCUGAGGCUCGAAAGCGUGGGGAGCAAACAGGAUUAGAUACCCUGGUAGUCCACGCCGUAAACGAUGAGUGCUAAGUGUUGGAGGGUUUCCGCCCUUCAGUGCUGCAGCUAACGCAUUAAGCACUCCGCCUGGGGGAGUACGACCGCAAGGUUGAAACUCAAAGGAAUUGACGGGGGCCCGCACAAGCGGUGGAGCAUGUGGUUUAAUUCGAAGCAACGCGAAGAACCUUACCAGGUCUUGACAUCCUUUGACCACUCUAGAGAUAGAGCUUCCCCUUCGGGGGCAAAGUGACAGGUGGUGCAUGGUUGUCGUCAGCUCGUGUCGUGAGAUGUUGGGUUAAGUCCCGCAACGAGCGCAACCCUUAUUGUUAGUUGCCAUCAUUUAGUUGGGCACUCUAGCAAGACUGCCGGUGACAAACCGGAGGAAGGUGGGGAUGACGUCAAAUCAUCAUGCCCCUUAUGACCUGGGCUACACACGUGCUACAAUGGGAAGUACAACGAGUCGCAAAGUCGCGAGGCUAAGCUAAUCUCUUAAAGCUUCUCUCAGUUCGGAUUGUAGGCUGCAACUCGCCUACAUGAAGCCGGAAUCGCUAGUAAUCGCGGAUCAGCACGCCGCGGUGAAUACGUUCCCGGGCCUUGCACACACCGCCCGUCAA
rnacentral:rRNA from 1 species